rnacentral:rRNA from 1 species
UACGUAGGGUGCUAGCGUUGUCCGGAUUUAUUGGGCGUAAAGGGCUCGUAGGCGGUUUGUUGCGUCGGCUGUGAAAUCCCGAGGCUCAACCUCGGGUCUGCAGUCGAUACGAGCAAACUAGAGUGUUGCAGGGGAGACUGGAAUUCCUGGUGUAGCGGUGAAAUGCGCAGAUAUCAGGAGGAACACCGGUGGCGAAGGCGGGUCUCUGGGCAACAACUGACGCUGAGGAGCGAAAGCGUGGGGAGCGAACAGG